rnacentral:rRNA from 1 species
UAACGCGUAUCCAACCUGCCCAUCUCUUGGGAAUAACCUUGCUAAAGUAAGACUAAUGCCCAAUGACAUUUAUAGAAGGCAUCUGAAAUGAAUUAAAGAUUUAUCGGUGAUGGAUGGGGAUGCGUCUGAUUAGCUUGUUGGCGGGGUAACGGCCCACCAAGGCGACGAUCAGUAGGGGUUCUGAGAGGAAGGUCCCCCACAUUGGAACUGAGACACGGUCCAAACUCCUACGGGAGGCAGCAGUGAGGAAUAUUGGUCAAUGGGCGAGAGCCUGAACCAGCCAAGUAGCGUGCAGGAUGACGGCCCUAUGGGUUGUAAACUGCUUUUAUAGGGGAAUAAAGUGAGCCACGUGUGGUUUUUUGCAUGUACCCUAUGAAUAAGGACCGGCUAAUUCCGUGCCAGCAGCCGCGGUAAUACGGAAGGUCCGGGCGUUAUCCGGAUUUAUUGGGUUUAAAGGGAGCGUAGGCCGGAGAUUAAGCGUGUUGUGAAAUGUAGAUGCUCAACAUCUGAACUGCAGCGCGAACUGGUUUCCUUGAGUACGCAUAAAGUGGGCGGAAUUCGUGGUGUAGCGGUGAAAUGCUUAGAUAUCACGAAGAACUCCGAUUGCGAAGGCAGCUCACUGGGGCGCAACUGACGCUGAAGCUCGAAAGCGCGGGUAUCGAACAGGAUUAGAUACCCUGGUAGUCCGCGCGGUAAACGAUGGAUGCCCGCUGUUGGGCCAACUGGUUCA